rnacentral:tRNA from 1 species
GCCUUUAUAGCUCAGUGGUAGAGCGCAGCACUCGUAUCCUUCAUAUGAGUUCAUGCUGAGGUCCAUCGUUCAAUCCGGUGUGGAGGCA